UACGAAGGGGGCUAGCGUUGCUCGGAAUUACUGGGCGUAAAGGGUGCGUAGGCGGCCUGACAAGUCUGAUGUGAAAUCCCUGGGCUCAACCCAGGGCCUGCAUCGGAAACUGUCGGGCUUGAGUAUGGGAGAGGUGAGUGGAAUUUCCGGUGUAGCGGUGAAAUGCGUAGAUAUCGGAAGGAACACCUGUGGCGAAAGCGGCUCACUGGACCAUUACUGACGCUGAGGCACGAAAGCUAGGGGAGCAAACAGG
rnacentral:rRNA from 1 species